GUGAAUCAUCAAAUUUUUGAACGCAAAUUGCACCCUCCUCGGAGAGUAUGCCUGUUUGAGGGUCAGCCUAUAUAAAAUAGACAUCGUUGCUGUUUCGCGGUGCCGUUCGUCGGAAAUCGUGCCACCUUAAAUCCUUUUGAUUUAUGCGACUUCAAAUUUUCUUUUGGUUCCUUGAACGUUUCUUAGUUCUAUUUCUUCACGCGAUUACGGUCCCGAUUUUUACUAGACCUGACCAUCAUAUCGGAUCGCGUCCAUAAUCUUUCAUUAACUGACCUCAGACAGGUAAUACUAC
rnacentral:misc_RNA from 1 species